GUUUCAGCAAGUCGAUGAUCAGUCAGGUGAUGAACAAAUUGUGAUACCAAGACAAAAGUUUAACCAAUUCUUUAAACGAUUAAAGGAGAUGCUACAUAAUGAUGAGCACGGAAAUGAACCGUACAAUAUGUCACAAAGUCCAGUACAAUACUUGUUACUAGAAGCACCACGGCAUCCUCGAAGUUUGCGAACACGUUGCGGUAUGAGUUAAAAAAACAGGGUCGCAUUGAUGCUUACUGUUAUUGAAACAUUUGAAGGACACAUCCAACAACAAUUUUAAUUCUUGU